rnacentral:rRNA from 1 species
CAGUCGUACCUGCGGACAAUCAGCUUUUUGAGUGUGAUUAUGUGGUUUGUGAGGAGUUAAACCGCCUUCAUGUAUUGCAUAUUUGUGCUCUUGGGUGUACUUGCCCGUGUGGUAGGUUAACAUCAAUUUUGGUCGUCAUAAAAUGACUGGAGGAAUGUAGCUUUGGUCUCGUAUCGAAGUGUUAUAGCCUUCGAUACAAGAUCAAAGCUACAUU